rnacentral:rRNA from 1 species
UGGGGAAUAUUGCACAAUGGGCGAAAGCCUGAUGCAGCGACGCCGCGUGCGGGAUGAAGGCCUUCGGGUUGUAAACCGCUUUUAAUUGGGAGCAAGCGAGAGUGAGUGUACCUUUUGAAUAAGCACCGGCUAACUACGUGCCAGCAGCCGCGGUAAUACGUAGGGUGCAAGCGUUAUCCGGAAUUAUUGGGCGUAAAGAGCUCGUAGGCGGUUUGUCACGCCUGGUGUGAAAGUCCAUCGCUUAACGGUGGAUCUGCGCCGGGUACGGGCAGGCUAGAGUGCAGUAGGGGAGAUUGGAAUUCCCGGUGUAACGGUGGAAUGUGUAGAUAUCGGGAAGAACACCAAUGGCGAAGGCAGAUCUCUGGGCUGUUACUGACGCUGAGGAGCGAAAGCAUGGGGAGCGAACAGGAUUAGAUACCCUGGUAGUCCAUGCCGUAAAACGGUGGAUGCUGGAUGUGGGACCCUUCCACGGGUUCCGUGUCGGAGCUAACGCGUUAAGCAUCCCGCCUGG